CCUACGGGGGACAGCAGUAGGGGAUAUUGCACAAUGGGGGGAACCCUGAUGCAGCGACGCCGCGUGGGUGAUGGAGGGUUUCGGCUCGUAAAGCCCUAUCGGUAGGGAAGAUGAUGACGGUACCUGGCCAAUAAGCCCCGGCUAACUACGUGCCAGCAGCCGCGGUAAUACGGAGGGGGCCAGCGUUACUCGGAUUUACUGGGUGUAAAGGGGGAGCAGGCGGCAUAGCAAGCCAGGUGUGAAAGCCCAGGGCCCAACCCCGGGACUGCACUUGAAACUGCAUGGCUGGAGUACAGGAGGGGCAGGCGGAAUUCGUGGUGUAGCGGUGAAAUGCGUAGAUAUUAAGAGGAAUACCGGUGGCGAAGGCGGCCUGCUGGACUGUGACUGACGUUGAGGCCCGAAGGCGUGGGGAGCAAACAGGAUUAGAUACCCUUGUAGUA
rnacentral:rRNA from 1 species